UGGCGGACGGGUGAGUAACGCGUAGGUAUCUAUCCUUGGGUGGGGGACAACAGUGGGAAACUACUGCUAAUACCGCAUGAUGACCGAGGUCCAAAGGCGCAAGUCGCCUGGGGAGGAGCCUGCGUACGAUUAGCUAGUUGGUGGGGUAAAGGCCUACCAAGGCUACGAUCGUUAGCUGGUCUGAGAGGAUGAUCAGCCACAUUGGGACUGAGACACGGCCCAA
rnacentral:rRNA from 1 species